rnacentral:rRNA from 1 species
CAGUCGCCGCGGGAAAACGUAGGUGGCAAGCGUUGUCCGGAAUUAUUGGGCGUAAAGGGCUCGCAGGCGGUUUCUUAAGUCUGAUGUGAAAGCCCCCGGCUCAACCGGGGAGGAUCAUUGGAAACUGGGAAACUUGAGUGCAGAAGAGGAGAGUGGAAUUCCACGUGUAGCGGUGAAAUGCGUAGAGAUGUGGAGGAACACCAGUGGCGAAGGCGACUCUCUGGUCUGUAACUGACGCUGAGGAGCGAAAGCGUGGGGAGCGAACAGGAUUAGAUACCCCCGUAGUCCCUGUCUCUUAUAA